rnacentral:rRNA from 1 species
AUUGAACGCCGGCGGCAGGCCUAACACAUGCAAGUCGAGCGGAUGAGAGGGGCUUGCUCCUUGAUUUAGCGGCGGACGGGUGAGUAAUGCCUAGGAAUCUGCCUAGUGGUGGGGGAUAACGUUCCGAAAGGAACGCUAAUACCGCAUACGUCCUACGGGAGAAAGCGGGGGAUCUUCGGACCUCGCGCCAUUAGAUGAGCCUAGGUCGGAUUAGCUAGUUGGUGAGGUAAUGGCUCACCAAGGCGACGAUCCGUAACUGGUCUGAGAGGAUGAUCAGUCACACUGGAACUGAGACACGGUCCAGACUCCUACGGGAGGCAGCAGUGGGGAAUAUUGGACAAUGGGCGAAAGCCUGAUCCAGCCAUGCCGCGUGUGUGAAGAAGGUCUUCGGAUUGUAAAGCACUUUAAGUUGGGAGGAAGGGUAUUCACCUAAUACGUGAGUAUUUUGACGUUACCGACAGAAUAAGCACCGGCUAACUUCGUGCCAGCAGCCGCGGUAAGAC